rnacentral:rRNA from 1 species
CAUUAGAGUGUUCACCGCGGGCCCAUUCACUUUUCUGCCGCCGAAUACAUUAGCAUGGGAUAAUGGAAUAGGACCCUGUCCUCCUUUUUUCAGUUGGUUAAUUCAUGAGAGAGGAACAGGGUAAUGAUUAAUAGGGAUAGUUGGGGGCAUUAAUAUUUAAUUGUCAGAGGUGAAAUUCUUGGAUUUAUGAAAGAUUAACUUCUGCGAAAGCAUCUGCCAAGGAUGUUUUCAUUAAUCAAGAACGAAAGUUAGGGGAUCGAAGACGAUCAGAUACCGUCGUAGUCUUAACCAUAAACGAUGCCGACCAGCGAUUAGGAGACGUUGAAUACAAAACACCUCUAUAUAUAAUUCAGUAUAUGGCUAGCAAUGGCUGUAUAUUGUUUGUGUAUAGUUACGGUGAAUGACUCCCCUACAACCUUGUGAGAAAA